UCGGGUUGUAAAGCACUUUUGUCCGGAAAGAAAACCUCAGCCCGAAUACGGCGGGGGGAUGACGGUACCGGAAGAAUAAGCACCGGCUAACUACGUGCCAGCAGCGCGGUAAUCGUAGGGUGCGAGCGUUAAUCGGAAUUACUGGGCGUAAAGCGUGCGCAGGCGGUUCGCUAAGACCGAUGUGAAAUCCCCGGGCUUAACCUGGGAACUGCAUUGGUGACUGGCGGGCUGGAGUAUGGCAGAGGGGGGUAGAAUUCCACGUGUAGCAGUGAAAUGCGUAGAGAUGUGGAGGAAUACCGAUGGCGAAGGCAGCCCCCUGGGCCAAUACUGACGCUCAUGCACGAAAGCGUGGGGAGCAAACAGGAUUAGAUACCCUGGUAGUCCACGCCCUAAACGAUGUCAACUGGUUGUCGGGUCUUCAUUGACUUGGUAACGUAGCUAACGCGUGAAGUUGACCGCCUGGGGAGUACGGUCGCAAGAUUAAAACUCAAAGGAAUUGACGGGGACCCGCACAAGCGGUGGAUGAAUGUGGAUUAAUUCGAUGCAACGCGAAAAACCUUACCUACCCUUGACAUGUACGGAACCUGGCCG
rnacentral:rRNA from 1 species